UACGUAGGUGGCAAGCGUUGUCCGGAUUUAUUGGGCGUAAAGAGCUCGUAGGCGGCUUGUCGCGUCGUCCGUGAAAACCCACAGCUCAACUGUGGGCUUGCGGUCGAUACGGGCAGGCUAGAGUUCGGUAGGGGAGACUGGAAUUCCUGGUGUAGCGGUGAAAUGCGCAGAUAUCAGGAGGAACACCGGUGGCGAAGGCGGGUCUCUGGGCCGAUACUGACGCUGAGGAGCGAAAGCGUGGGGAGCGAACAGG
rnacentral:rRNA from 1 species